rnacentral:lncRNA from 1 species
GACUACCCCUCGGAAUUCACUGGCUCUUCAGAUCGCCAUAGGUUGGGCCAGGAAGCGCUAUGGCCCCAGGUGGUGCUGGUGCCCGGAUGGGCCCUGUUGGUCGGCAGAUCCCGAGGGAUUACUUACAACAGGGAGGGCCAGUGAUGAAAGGGCCUUUGAAGGUUAAACCUACCAUAAAAAGAACCCAUUCUGAACCCUCCACUAAAACAUCCUUUGGGAUCGUGUCGUCCGGACGGUCUUCUCCGGGUGCCAGCCCGCCUAUGGACCUGAGCCAAAGCCCUCCGGGUCCCUCGUCUCCCCCACCUUCACCUCCAUCUCCCCCACCACAACUCAUCUCUUCUUUGCCGGUAAUGUAUCGCCCCACGUACCACAUUGCAAGACCCCAAAGAAAACUCCAGGACUGGUCCUUUAAGGGACGUAAACCAGUCCUGGUGUUAGGCGACUCCAACAUCAACCGAAUACCGGCUCAUACUAAUUCACAAAU